CACGUAGGCGGCCUUUCAAGUGCGAAGUGAAAUCCCACGGCUCACCCGUGGACGUGCUUUGCAUACUGGGAGGCUCGAGGACGGUAGAGGAGAGCGGAACUCUUGGUGGAGCGGUGAAAUGCGUAGAUAUCAAGAGGAACACCGAAGGCGAAGGCAGCUCUCUGGUCCGUUUCUGACGCUGAGGUGCGAAAGCCAGGGUAGCGAACG
rnacentral:rRNA from 1 species